rnacentral:rRNA from 1 species
CGCGUAGGCGGCGUCGCAAGUCGGCUGUGAAAGCCCGGGGCUCAACUCCGGAGGUGCAGCCGAGACUGCGGUGCUCGAGGCCGGAAGAGGAGGGUGGAAUACCCAGUGUAGAGGUGAAAUUCGUAGAUAUUGGGUGGAACACCGGUGGCGAAAGCGGCUCUCUGGUCCGGACCUGACGCUGAGGCGCGAAAGCGUGGGGAGCAAACA